UUCCUGCAUUGGAGAAGGAAAUGGCAACCCACUCCGGUGUUCUUGCCUAGAGAAUCCCAGGAACGGGGGAGUCUGGUAGGUUGACAUCUAUGGGGUCGAACAGAGUCGGACACGACUGAAGCGACUUAGCAGCAGCAGCAGCAACACUGCCAUUAAGUAAAACAGGAUGGAUCAGCAUCCAGUGUUUGGUUUCUAUCCACAAUAUGGUUUGAACGUCAAGACUGAUGAUGUCAUGCCUGCACCAAGAGGGAAUGAUAGAAGAUUUUUACCUGGAUACACCUUUCCCCCGCCACUGCUGAAUUAAGAAGGAACCAUGAUCCUGAGUUUCCCAGGAGAAGGUAAUUUGGAGAAUUAGGACUCUUAAGUGG
ensembl:lncRNA